AUGUUGUCUCUGGCAAGAAGUAAGUGUAUUUAUUCUAUUUCCCAGGUCUAUUAUUCCUGUGGUGCGGUGGUGGAGUCAAUGGAAAGAGGCCUGAUUUUAUCACCAGGAUUUCCAAACAACUACUACCCGGGGACACACUGCGUUUGGCAAUUUUUCAUUCCCAUAAGAACACAUCUUAUCUUGGAAAUUUUUGACUUUGACAUUUUUGAGAGCUCUAGUGAAACUCCAACCCCUUGGGAUGGCUUUCCAGCUGCUGCGAUAACAGGAAAUAAGGACGUGACUCCUCCCGAGGAAAACCUGGACUUUGUUCUCCAGACUACAAAAUCCUCUCUUCAGAGCUGGAUGUCAAAGGCAGCUCAGAAUCUGAGCGGUGCAGAAGAUCAGUCAAAAGGACUUCCUGGCCACCUGGACGAACUUCCAGGAGCAGCCUCAAGGAAAGAUGAAGCCAAACAGAUGUCCGAAGGAAACCAGUCAAAACAGAUGAAGGAACCCAAAGCGAUUACGGAGACUCAAACAGAAGAACAGCCAUUACCUGAUUCUGGUGGUGCCAAAACACAGAGGCAAAAUGUUAGCGGCCAAGAAACAAAAGAAGGUUGGAAAGGCAAUAUUUUGUUUGCCCAUCUAGCUGCUAGUGAGAGAGAUGAAAGUCUGGGAGAGAGCUGGACGCUUCCCACAACAAUACUGCCAGUGGAAAUCUCCAGCCAGCAGCCGGCAGUGGAUGUCUGUCCCCACGAUGUACUGUAUGUUUCAGAUCUCAUCACGUUUUCCUCUCGUUUCUGUGGACCAAAUUCACCUUUAAACAGGACCAUGGUCUUUGGUUCGUCUCUGGAAAUGGUUGAGGUUAUCAUGGAACUCAUUACCACCACCAACCGGGGCAGAGGCUUCGCAAUGCUCUUUGAAUACAAGAACAUCACGGAACCCAACACUGUGGAUGCUGUGAGGCAGGAGAGAAUGGAAAACAUACUGAUGCUGGCAAUUUUAACAGGGACCGUCUUCUUUGCACUUGCUUUGCUCUCUGCCCUCUGCAUAGCUUGCAGGUAA
rnacentral:lncRNA from 1 species